AUGAACCAUCUGGCAGAAGACAUGGAGAACGCUUUCACCGGGAACCAGAGCUCCCAUGCUUCUCUGUGCAACGUCCAUUCCAUCAACCCCACACAACUAAUGGCCAGGAUUGAGUUCUAUGAAGGAAGGGAAAAGAAAGGCAUAUCUGAUGUCAGGAGGACUUUCUGUUUGUUUGUCACCUUUGACCUCUUAUUUGUAACGUUACGGUGGAUAAUGGAGUUAAAUGUGAAUGGAGGCAUUGAGAACACAUUAGAGAAGGAGGUGAUGCAGUAUGACUACUAUUCUUCGUAUUUUGGCAGUUUUUCGAUUUAAAGCGUUAAUACUUGCAUAUGCUGUGUGCAGACUGCGCCAUUGGUGGGCAAUAGCGUUGACAACGGCGGUAACCAGUGCCUUUUUACUAGCAAACGUGAUCCUUUCAAAACUUUUCUCUCAAGGGGCUCUUGGCUAUGUGCUGCCCAUCAUUUCAUUCAUCCUUGCCUGGAUUGAGACCUGGGUCCUGGAUUUCAAAGUGUUACCUCAAGAAGCAGCAGAAGAAAACAGACUCCUGAUAGUUCAGGAUGCUUCAGAGAGGGCAGCACUUAUACCUGGUGGUUUUUCUGAUGGUCAGUUUUAUUCCGCUCCUGAAUCUGAAAUAGGAUCUGAAGAAGGUGAAGAAAAACAGGACAGCGAGAAACCACUUUUAGAACUAUGAGUACUACUUUUGUUAAAUGUGAAAAACCCUCACAGAAAGUCAUCGAGGCAAAAAGAGGCCGGCAAUUGAGUCUCCCCGUUGACAGUAAAGUUGAAAUGGUGAGGUCCACUGCUGGCUUUAUUGAACAGCUAAUAAAGAUUUAUUUAUUGUAAUACCUCACAGACAUUGUACCAUAUCCAUGCACAUUUAGUCACCUGCCUGUGGCUGGUAAGGUAAUGUCAUAAUUCAUCCUCUCUUCAGUGAGACUGAGU